UCUUAGGGAUGCUAGGGUUCCGGUUCGCGAGAAUGUCUGGUCCGAGAGCAGCCCGGUGCACCCGUUCGUUCGAUUCGGACUUGAUCCGGGAACGAACUGGCCGCACUACACGGCGGGACAAAAGCCCGGGAGAU
rnacentral:sRNA from 2 species